CCUGCUCGUAAGCAAGCCCUCACAGAAAUAAAAGCUGAUGGGAAGCGUGUGUUCUGUCCGACAAGAGAAAGUUUCUGCAAGAAUCAAGAGAGUGCAGAGAGCUGGCCAGUGCCGACAGGACAGGCGGGCACAGAGAAUGUUCUAUGAGGAACUCGAAUUCCCAGGAGCCAAGUCUUACAAACUCAACUAAAGAUGUUCCAAACUGCCCCUGUGCCAGCUCCUCAUCUCAGCCUCUUGGUGGAAGGCAAGUGCAUGUGGGCCUCUCCACCCAUCUACUGUGUCCUGGGGAAACAACGUGAAGAAUUUCUGAUAAAAGAUUCUUUUAAAAACAUGUCGAAUGAAUCACCGUCCUGUUUUAUUCGUGAAAGUGGAAAAAAUUAUUUUAAAGCUGGCUGCAGUUGGAGCCCGUUGGCCUAAAAGGAAGGCAAAAUGUUUCCUCGUAAGAAGACUGCUUGUUUUCUUUUGAAGGAAAACAGGUCAAUGGGCCUGCCGGUUGUAGAACAUGAGGCCCCACCCCUCCUCAGACAGAACCACAGAAGAGUCAAAUUGUUCUGUCUCCCACAGUGACGGGAGUCUUCCUCUGUUGGGUGCGGGAGACAGGGUUUGGGGACCUGGGGAAAGCUGAAGCGGGGAUGAAGAGAGAGAGAGACCUAGAAAGAUGGAGCAGAUGGCUCAGGGACAGCCAGGUGUUAGGGACCUUUAGGGGGGCAUGUUGGAUGGAGCUCAAUGGGUUUGUUCAGAUGUUAAAGGGGAAGAAGACCUGAAGGCUGGGUAAUGUGGGCCCAUCCAGGCAGCCAACACUUUGGUUGCCCAGUGAGAUUUUGGCUUGUAUUCUGUGUAUAUAUUGGAUUUACCUAAAAUAGUGCAGGCUGUGGUCACAUUUAAUCCACAGACUGUCAGUCCUGGAAGGACCAUAAGGAUAGAGACUCCAAGAGGGCCGGUGACCUGCCCAGGUUCAUGGAGGCAGCCAGGGCAGCAGUAGAGAUGCAGUUGGAGCCAGGUGUUCUGACUGCUGCAGGGGCUCUUCCGAGGAGAGGCCCUAUCAGAAACGGCUGACCGCCCCCCUGGCCAGAUGCAGAACUCCUGGGAGGCCAGAUUUCCCAUGGAGUUCCCAGGAUUCUGCAGCCUGGAGAAGCCAAGCAGCCUGGAGAAGGAGAGAAGAGUUAGGGGUAGGCGUGUCCUAGGAUUAUUUUCGGCCUCUGGUAUUCCUGGGGAGUUGUGGCCUUCCAUUCUAGCCCCGUGGCUUUGCCCCACACAUAGAGCUGAGGGGAGACCCUGCACCCCCAGUUUGCAACCAUACCUGUCAUAGAACAAGAGUCAGCUCUGCAUGGUCUUUGAGACCUGUGAAAGGGGAGGCAGGGUGCCAGGGAGGGUGAGAAAGAGGUGGAAGGUAAAAACACAGACUCUGGCAUGGGAGCAAGGACCUAGAGAGAAGGGAGGAAGGUGGGCCAAAAGUGUCAGGCCCCAGUCAGUGAAACGGGCCUUCCAUUGUCCAUCACCUGUGGUGUUAAGACCCCUGAUCAGAGGUCAAGAUAAUCAGGCAGAGGAAGCGAUCUAAGACAACAGUGAAAGGAGGUACAGCGGGAAAAGCCAUUAAAAAUGGACCAAAUGAACUAGCCUGAUUCUAUAAAACUAAAAUACACACCCGGUCAUCUUGGGGCAGAGGAAGGAGAG
rnacentral:lncRNA from 1 species